rnacentral:rRNA from 1 species
AACGUAGGAGGCGAGCGUUAUCCGGAGUUAUUGGGCGUAAAGAGCUCGUAGGCGGUUUGUCGCGUCUGCCGUGAAAGUCCGGGGCUCAACUCCGGAUCUGCGGUGGGUACGGGCAGACUAGAGUGAUGUAGGGGAGACUGGAAUUCCUGGUGUAGCGGUGAAAUGCGCAGAUAUCAGGAGGAACACCGAUGGCGAAGGCAGGUCUCUGGGCAUUAACUGACGCUGAGGAGCGAAAGCAUGGGGAGCGAACAGG